UACAGAGGUCCCAAGCGUUGUCCGGAAUUAUUGGGCGUAAAGAGCUCGUAGGCGGUUUGUCGCGUCUGCUGUGAAAACUCGGGGCUUAACCCCGGGCCUGCAGUGGGUACGGGCAGACUAGAGUGCGGUAGGGGAGACUGGAAUUCCUGGUGUAGCGGUGAAAUGCGCAGAUAUCAGGAGGAACACCGGUGGCGAAGGCAGGUCUCUGGGCCGAUACUGACGCUGAGGAGCGAAAGCGUGGGGAGCGAACAGG
rnacentral:rRNA from 1 species